AGGCAAGGCAAUAUAAUAUUCCAUUUUCUUCACGUGCUCAAAUUUGCUAAGCUAGUUCCUGAUUGUGGGAUACAUGGUUGGGCUCACAUAUUUUCCCACCGAUAGACAAGAGAUUACCAGAAAAGGGGUGAGGAAUCCAGAGAGAAUGUCUGCAUAAGAAGGAGGGUGGAGAUUUCUUACUGAACUAAAGGCUUCAAGAAUUGGCAAAUACCUGCUCAUCGGAUCUCACUCUGUUACCCAGGCUGGGGUGAAGUGGCACAAUCAUAGUUCACUGCAGCCUUGACCUCCUGGGCUCAAGUGAUCCUCCCGCCUCAGUCUCCCAAAGUGCUGGAAUUACAGGUGUGAGCCACUGCUCCUUGUGAUCUUACUCUUUCUACCAAUAAAAAUUCC
rnacentral:lncRNA from 1 species